rnacentral:rRNA from 1 species
GACGAACGCUGGCGGCGUGCUUAACACAUGCAAGUCGAACGGAAAGGCCCUGCUUUUGUUGGGUGCUCGUGUGGCGAACGGGUGAGUAACACGUGAGUAACCUGCCCUUGACUUUGGGAUAACUUCAGGAAACUGGGGCUCAUACCGGAUAGGAUCUCCUGCUGCAUGGUGGGGGUUGGAGAGUUUCGGCGGUGGGGGAUGGACUCGCGGCUUAUCAGCUUGUUGGUGGGGUAGUUGCUUACCAAGGCUUUGACGGGUAGCCUGCCUGAGAGGGUGACCGGCCACAUGGGGCCUGAGAUACGGACCAGACUCCUACGGGAGGCAGCAGUGGGGAAUAUUGCACAAUGGGCGGAAGCCUGAUGCAGAAACGCCGCGUGCGGGAUGCCGGCCUUCGGGUUGUAAACCGCUUUCGCCUGUGACGAAGAGUGAGUGACGGUAAUGGGUAAAGAAGCAACGGCUAACUACGUG